CUAUACGGCGAAACUGCGAACGGCUCAUUAUAUAAGUUAUCGUUUAUUUGAUAGCACCUUGCUACUUGGGUAACCGUGGUAAUUCUAGAGCUAAUACAUGCUAAAAAUCCCGACUCCGGAAGGGAUGUGUUUAUUAGAUUCAAAACCAAUGCCCCCUGGGCUCACUGGUGAUUCAUGAUAACCGCUCGAAUCGCACGGCCUUGCGCUGGCGAUGGUUCAUUCAAAUUUCUUCCCUAUCAACUUUCGAUGUUUGGGUAGUGGCCAAACAUGGUUGCAACGGGUAACGGAGGGUUAGGGCUCGACCCCGGAGAAGGAGCCUGAGAGACGGCUACUACAUCCAAGGAAGGCAGCAGGCGCGCAAAUUACCCAAUCCCGACACGGGGAGGUAGUGACAAUAAAUACCGAUAUAGGGCUCUUUUGGGUCUUAUAAUUGGAAUGAGUACAAUUUAAAUCCCUUAACGAGGAACAAUUGGAGGGCAAGUCUGGUGCCAGCAGCCGCGGUAAUUCCAGCUCCAAUAGCGUAUAUUAAAGUUGUUGUGGUUAAAAAGCUCGUAGUUGAACCUUGGGCCUGGCUGGCCGGUCCGCCUCACCGCGUGCACUGGUCCGGCCGGGCCUUUCCCUCCGCGGAACCCCAUGCCCUUCACUGGGCGUGGCGGGGAAACGGGACUUUUACUUUGAAAAAAUUAGAGUGCUCCAGGCAGGCCUAUGCUCGAAUACAUUAGCAUGGAAUAAUGAAAUAGGACGCGCGGUUCUAUUUUGUUGGUUUCUAGGACCGCCGUAAUGAUUGAUAGGGACAGUCGGGGGCGUCAGUAUUCAACCGUCAGAGGUGAAAUUCUUGGACCGGUUGAAGACUAACUACUGCGAAAGCAUUCG
rnacentral:rRNA from 1 species